UGAGCAACCUGCCCUUCUCAUCGGAAUAAGCGUUGGAAACGACGUCUAAUGCCGAAUACGACCUCCUUUCGCAUGAUCGGAGGUGGAAAGCUCCGGCGGAGAAGGAUGAGCUCGCGGCCUAUCAGCUAGUUGGUGUGGGUAACGCCCACAAGGCGACGACGGGUAGCCGGCCUGAGAGGGUGACCGGCCACACUGGGACUGAGACACGGCCCAGACUCCUACGGGAGCAGCAGG
rnacentral:rRNA from 1 species